rnacentral:rRNA from 1 species
GAUUAACGCCGGCGGCGUGCAUAACACAUUCAAGUCGAACGGGUGUAGAAAUACAUCAGUGGCGGACGGGUGAGUAACGCGUGAGCAAUCUACCUUCCAGUGCGGAAUAACAACCGGAAACAGUUGCUAAUACCGCAUGAAAUGGCAGUACCGCAUGGUACAACCAUCCAAGGCUUGCUGCUGGAAGAUGAGCUUGCGUCUGAUUAGAUAGUUGGUGGGGUAGCGGCCUACCAAGUCGACGAUCAGUAGCCGGACUGAGAGGUUGAACGGCCACAUUGGGACUGAGAUACGGCCCAGACUCCUACGGGAGGCAGCAGUGGGGAAUAUUGGGCAAUGGGGGAAACCCUGACCCAGCAACGCCGCGUGAAGGAAGAAGGCCUUCGGGUUGUAAACUUCUUUUAGCAGGGACGAAGGACGUGACGGUACCUGCAGAAAAAGCAACGGCUAACUACGUGCCAGCAGCCGCAGUAAAAC